rnacentral:lncRNA from 1 species
GUCAAACUCCCAAAACCUAAACCCAAGACAGAUGCUUUCUCUUCGACUCUCUUUGCACUCAAAAACAACGCUGUCUCUCUGAACUUCAAAAACGAUCUCCGACGACUUCCUUUUCUCUAGCGACUUCCUUCUCUCCGGCGAACGCUUUGUUGGGGAUUUCUCUGGAUCUCGAAGUUUGGCCAUCAGAUAAGGUGAGUGUUUUGCAAGGAAAUGACUUAACAAUCAAUACCUAUCAAACAGCAUUCGCUUUAGCCUUUGUUUCUUGUUUGUGCGUUUGUGCACUUGUGGGUUAUAUUGGCUCUAACUCUGUAGUUAUAUUGGCUUUGUUGACAUUGUCGGUUAAAUAACAAAACAGGAGUGAAAUUUCAUUGGCUUUGACCAUCUAGUUAUAUUGGUUUUGACUCUCUACAGUAAUGACAUUCACAUUUACUUCAAAUCUUGUAUUGCAAAUUUCAUUGAAAAGUAGUGCUCAAAUGAUCUGCUUCAACGCUUCUGAAUACAUGAUUGAAAACAGGAUUGUACAAAUUCACAAUCAUAAUAUUUUUGGUUCACAGAUUUAAUCUUGGCUUUGAGCUGCCCUUAUUCUAAAUCUUGCAAACUCUUGUUUUCCCUCUGUUUCAUAUUAACGGACUUAUUGUUCUCCAAUACAACAAUAAUAACUAAUUUUAUGGUAUUUAAUUUACUGUAGGAUCUCAUUUUGUAAGAAGAUGUCGAUGGAGCAUGAUGAUGUAGAGUCCAAUGAAAUAAGUGUUUCAAGUUCAAAAAGAUAACGUAAUACUACUUCUGUUACAAGUUCUAAAUCUUGCAAACUCUUGUUUUCCCUCUGUUUCAUAUUAACGGACUUAUUGUUCUCCAAUACAACAAUAAUAACUAAUUUUAUGGUAUUUAAUUUACUGUAGGAUCUCAUUUUGUAAGAAGAUGUCGAUGGAGCAUGAUGAUGUAGAGUCCAAUGAAAUAAGUGUUUCAAGUUCAAAAAGAUAACGUAAUACUACUUCUGUUGUUUGGGAUUUCUACGAGAAGUUGCCAUUGGAUACAAAUCCAGAUAAUAGACUUAGAGCUAAAUGUAAGAAAUGCUGGAUAAUAUUUUUGGUUGACUCAAAAGCUAGAACAACAAAUUUAAAGCGGCAUCUAGCUAAGCACAAGAUUGAAGCAUCAAAGCAAGGUACGCCAAUUGAGCAUAAGGAAUAUCGUGAAGUUAUAGUCAAGGCUAUAGUUAGACAUAACUUGCCAUUUAGUUAUAAUAUGAAGGGAUUAGAGAAGUGCAUGCGUUCUUGAAUCAUGCGGUUAAAACCAUUUCAAGAAAUACCGCAAAAGUUGAUGUGCUUAACUUAUAUCAUGGUACAAAAGAGAUGGUAAAAAAUGAGCUUGAAGCUAUUCAAAAUAGAAUUAGUUUGACAUCUGAUUUAUGGUCAUCAAUUACAUCAAAUGAAUAUAUUUUUGUUAUUGCACACUAUGUUGAUUUGGAUUGGGUUUUACAAAAGAGAGUUUUAAUCUUUCGUCAUAUGUCUCCUCCUCAUAGUGGUGCUAAUUUUGGUCCAAAGUUGAUUAAUCUGUUGAAAUAGUGGGGAAUUGAAAAGAAAAUAUUUUCUAUAACUUUAGAUAAUGCAAUUUAUAAUGAUGGUGUUGUGGGUUGCUUGAUUUGCAUUUUAAGCUAAUGGAUUCUUUGCUUUGUAAUGGAGACUUUGUCCAUAUUAGGUGUGCAAAUCAUAUUUUGAAUUUGAUUGUUAAAGCAGGUUUGAAAAUAAUAGAGGGUGCUAUUUUUAACAUUAGAGAAAUAUAAAAUAUAUUAAUGGUUCUGAGUCAUGGAUUGUAAAAUUUGUUGAGUGUAUCAAGAAUCUUGGUUUAAAGAUGACGGGAAAAGUGCGCCAAGAUGUGUCUACAAGGUGGAACUAUACAUAUUUGAUGCUUGUAAGCGCUUUUCCUUAUCGUCGAGUAUUUUCUGACUUCAAGAUACUUGACAAAAAUUUUACAUGUUGCCCUUCAGAUGAGGAUUGGGUUAAAGUUGAAACAAUUGCUAAGUUUUUAAGGUCUUUUUAUGAAAUUACUACACUAUUUUCUGGGAGCCAUUAUCCUACCGCCAAUUUAUAUUUUCAUUAAGUUUGGAAGAUUCAUAUGUUAAUAAAGGAAGAGAUAGGUAGCGAGGAUCCUAAUAUUAAGGCGAUGGCUAUGGAAAUAGAGAAGAAAUUUACAAAAUUUUGGCAAGACGACUACAGUCCAAUUACUUAUAUGGUGAUCGCCCUUGAUCCUCGAUAUAAGUUAAAUUUGAUAAAGUUUUGAGAAGCAAAACUUGAUCCUUGACUUGCAAUGAAAAAGUUAGAUUGUUGAGGAUAAUUUGCAUAGGUUGUUUAAAGAAUACAUGACAAUAUCUGAUGUUUGAAUUGUUGGAUGUAAUAGUCAUGGAUGUUAUGAUGAAAUAAUGGACGAAAUGGAUGAAUUUGACAUGUUUGAAAGUCUGUCCGAGUAUAGUUUAGAAAAGACACAGUUGAAUUUAUACUUGGAAGAGCAUGUAUUAGUUUGCAAAGGAAAUGAAAAUUUAGACGUGCUUACAUUUUGGAAAGAUAAUAGGAGUAAGUGUCCUGAACUCUCUCGUGACCUGUUAAGUAUACAUAUCAGCACAGUUGCAUCUGAGUUGGCCUUUAGUGUUGGUGGUCGAGUUAUUGGCAAAUUCCAAAGUUCUAUUCUACCGGUGAAUGCAUAAGCUAAGUUGUGCUCUAGAGAUUGGAUUUAUGGGCAUCAAGGUACAUUAUAAUUAGUAGCAUGUGUAUUUUAUUUUAUGAACUUUCUUGUAGUUUGACAAUUUUCUAAAUUUUCUUAUUUUUAGCUUGUGAUGAUUCUGAAGAGGAGGACAUUGCAAUAGAUAAGAAGAAAAUUACCUCUACAAUCUUUACUUAGAAUUGUGGAUGUAGAGCAAGGAUGCAGAGACCCGAGCUAAUAUGAAUUUAUAAAUAUGGAUUGUUGAUCUAUAAUAAGAUAUAAGUUUCGAUACUUUCUGAUAUUUUGCUAUAGAAUUUGGAGAUGAAUGGUAUCUCCAGAACUCUCAUUCAUUUGUAAAAAGUUUUUGAUUCUUGGUGAGCCACUGUUCCUUUUUCUCUCGGUAGCUUCUUUUCUUGGUUUUAGUAAAAUUUAUUUUGCUUUGAUUUGAGGUAAUUUGUGAGCUGCGAUGAUAUCUGGGAGAUUCGGCUUAGUGUAUAGACAUAGAAUUUGGUGAUAUCAUGUGCAUGGAUAAUAAUACUAUACUAAGGUCUUAAAUGCUAAGCUGACAUGUUGGUGUACAAGUUGUUAUUUUCUUGUUAUUUUUUAAUUUAUAUUCAAACGACAAACAUAGGGAUUAAAAUUUAUCACAUUGUUUGAUAACAAAAUUCAAAAUUUAGCCGGUUAAGAUCUAUGAUUUAUUAAGCCAACUGGAAAUAAAUUUUAAUGAUUUGAGUUAAUUAANNNNNNNNNNNNNNNNNNNNNNNNNGGCUUUCAGUUCAUGGGGUGAGCCGGGGAGGGGGGGGGGGGGAUUAAACUUUUUCCUCUCAUUUUCAUAUAGUUGACAACAUUGUAAAUAUUUGGGUCAAGUUGGAUGGGUGGGUUGUGACCCAUGUUUAGCACAUCUUGACCCAGUCCAUCUUGACCCAACUAAACUUUGGGUUGGGUUGGGUGGGGCAUUGACCCAAUUAUUAGUGCAACCCAUAUUGACCAACCCAAACUCAGCCUAAACAACCCAUUUGCCACCCCUAUCGGGUACUAGAGGGGAUUUAGUUCCUUAAGGAAACACUUUGAAUUCAGUAGGCUCGGAAUAAUUUUGUUCUGCAUUUCUGCUUUUAUAGCGUUUUUAUUUUUGAAUAUAUUUUCGAAUACAUAUUACUAACAAGCUUAAGGAACUUAAUAUUUUUGUUUCUGUAUUCAUCUUAUAUUCUGUUUGUGGGAGACUAAAUCCUAGUGAUUUCUACUCUCAGUUUGGAGACUAAAAUCUUCGAAUUUUCUACUCCUUGGUUGACAUUACGAGAUUAAAAUCUUUGUGAUUUUCUACUAAUUCUAUAUUCGGUUUGAAAAAAUUAAAUCUUAACCGUCGUAUUUAAUCUGUUUAUGUUAAAGUUAUUCGGUUUGAAGAUUUUAAAUACUUUACCAUUAAUUAAUUUUAUUUCUGUUUUGUUUUUAACAGAAAUGACAGAAAUAGUAACCCCCAUGGUUGGCUCUACGAGCAAUGUUGUUACUUCCGGUCGUUCUGUGCCACCACCGGCUCCGGC